GCCACCGUAGCUCAGUAGGCAGAGCGGCGGUUUCGUAAACCGCAGGUCGGCGGUUCGAGUCCGCCCGGUGGCU
rnacentral:tRNA from 1 species